rnacentral:rRNA from 1 species
AUUGAACGCUGGCGGCAGGCUUAACACAUGCAAGUCGAACGAGUGGCGGACGGGUGAGUAAUGCUUGGGCAUCUAGCUUAUGGAGGGGGAUAACUACGGGAAACUGUAGCUAAUACCGCGUACCAUAGGAUGAGCCCAAGUGGGAUUAGGUAGUUGGUGAGGUAAAGGCUCACCAAGCCGACGAUCUCUAGCUGGUCUGAGAGGAUGACAGGCCACACUGGGACUGAGAAACGGCCCAGCUUCCUACGGGAGGAAGCAGUGGGGAAUAUUGCGCAAUGGGGGCAACCUGACGCAGCCAUGCCGCGUGACUGAAGAAGGCCUUCGGGUUGUAAAGUUCUUUCGGUAGCGAGGCGUUAACUACAGAAGAAGCACCGGCUAACUCCGUGCCAGCAGCCGCGGUAAUAC